CGCAUUUUCCAUUAGGUCAGGCCACAUGAAGCAUGAGGAGAUGGGGACCAGAAGGUCCUGUCCCAGCAACAACUAUCCACUCUGCAAGAAGAGGACCACCUUGGUGGACAGCUAGCCAGUGACCUCAAGGGAAGCAUCAGCCUGCAAACAAGGCCCACUACACAAGGGAUAGUUAGUUCCCAAGGAGAUAAAGUUCUGCUUAUUCCACCGCUCACUGAGGGAAUCCUUCGCCCUCUGCGUACCCCAAGGACCAUACAGAUGCACCCAAUGUGGCCACUGCCAGGCUAAGGUAGGCGGCUGCGUCACUGCUCUUAGAGGCCUUUUUUCUAAGAGCCACAUUCUGAUUCCCAAGUUGGAGCCAGCUGAAAACAGGACCUGGAGCCCUCUGCCUAUUAAUACAGUAAGCAGUGGGGUCUAGGGAACUGCAUGCUGAGAAUCAAGACUUCUGUACCCGGUAAGGCCUCUAAUUGGCUGUGUGACCACAAGCAAGAUCCUCACCUCUCUGUGCCUCAGUGUUCUUGGAGGCAAAAUAAAGCUAA